rnacentral:lncRNA from 1 species
CUCAACCUGCAGUAACUCAUAUAGCUCCAAAUUCAGCUUCUUUUCUUGCUCCACGUCAGCACUAGAGGAUUAAGUUAGGAUAACUGAUUCAGCAGUGGUUAACUUCUCUCUUUUAGCUUUAAUUUUUACUCCUAUAUCACCAAAUUGUGAAAAGUUGAACUUCUUCAGAACUUGCUUCAACCUUUUGAGCUUCCUGUGCAACCUCGCCAUUGGUAUUCCAU